CCUACGGGUGGCAGCAGUGAGGAAUAUUGGUCAAUGGACGAGAGUCUGAACCAGCCAAGUAGCGUGAAGGAUGACUGCCCUAUGGGUUGUAAACUUCUUUUAUAUGAGAAUAAAAUGUUCCACGUGUGGGAUUUUGUAUGUACCAUAUGAAUAAGGAUCGGCUAACUCCGUGCCAGCAGCCGCGGUAAUACGGAGGAUCCGAGCGUUAUCCGGAUUUAUUGGGUUUAAAGGGAGCGUAGGUGGAUUUUUAAGUCAGUUGUGAAAGUUUGCGGCUCAACCGUAAAAUUGCAGUUGAAACUGGCAGUCUUGAGUACAGUAGAGGUGGGCGGAAUUCGUGGUGUAGCGGUGAAAUGCUUAGAUAUCACGAAGAACUCCGAUUGCGAAGGCAGUUCACUGGACUGCAACUGACACUGAGGCUCGAAAGUGUGGGUAUCAAACAGGAUUAGAUACCCCAGUAGUC
rnacentral:rRNA from 1 species